UCUUGUGUAUCGUGGCCCAGAGACCCUGAGUGGUAAGCACAUCUCUGGCUUGGAUUAUAUCUUUUGCUCCCUGGUUCUAGAGGUGGAGAAAGUUUGGUAAUUUUCGUGUGAUCCAUUAAUAUCGCCAAUACAUUUUUAAGGGAAUCGCCCAGUGGAGUGAACACCUGAUCUUCCAUUCUUUAAAAUUUUCUUUUUCUAUCUUGGCAUUGAUUUAAUGCAGCCUGUUAUUGAAAUGGCAGAUUGUCUUACUUUUUCCAAAUAAGGGGACUGUAGGAUGGUCUCAUA
rnacentral:lncRNA from 1 species